UACGAGGGGGGCGAGCGUUGUUCGGAAUUAUUGGGCGUAAAGGGUGCGUAGGCGGUUUGGUAAGUCUGAUGUGAAAUCUAUGGGCUCAACUCAUAGUCUGCAUCGGAAACUGCCGGGCUUGAGUGUGGGAGAGGUGAGUGGAAUUCCUGGUGUAGCGGUGAAAUGCGUAGAGAUUGGGAAGAACACCGGUGGCGAAAGCGCUCUACUGGGCCUGCACUGACACUGAGGGACGAAAGCUAGGGGAGCGAAAGGG
rnacentral:rRNA from 1 species